GCAAAUCCCAUAAAGUUGUUCUCAGUUCGGAUUGUAGUCUGCAACUCGACUAUAUGAAGCUGGAAUCGCUAGUAAUCGUAGAUCAGCAUGCUACGGUGAAUACGUUCCCGGGUCUUGUACACACCGCCCGUCACACCACGAGAGUUUGUAACACCCGAAGCCGGUGGAGUAACCAUUUGGAGCUAGCCGUCGAAGGUGGGACAAAUGAUUGGGGUGAAGUCGUAACAAGGUAGCCGUAUCGGAAGGUGCGGCUGGAUCACCUCCUUUCUAAGGA
rnacentral:rRNA from 1 species